rnacentral:rRNA from 1 species
AGUGAACGCUGGCGGUAGGCCUAAUACAUGCAAGUCGAACGGCAGCACAGUAAGAGCUUGCUCUUACGGGUGGCGAGUGGCGGACGGGUGAGGAAUACAUCGGCAUCUACUUUUUCGUGGGGGAUAACGUAGGGAAACUUACGCUAAUACCGCAUACGACCUACGGGUGAAAGCAGGGGAUCUUCGGACCUUGCGCGAUUGAAUGAGCCGGUGUCGGAUUAGCUAGUUGGCGGGGUAAAGGCCCACCAAGGCGACGAUCCGUAGCUGGUCUGAGAGGAUGAUCAGCCACACUGGAACUGAGACACGGUCCAGACUCCUACGGGAGGCAGCAGUGGGGAAUAUUGGACAAUGGGCGCAAGCCUGAUCCAGCAAUACCGCGUGAGUGAAGAAGGCCUUCGGGUUGUAAAGCCCUGUUGUUAGGAAAGAAAAGCAGCAGGUUAAUACCCCGCUGUUCUGACGGUACCCAAAGAAUAAGCAACGGCUAACUUCGUG